GGACCCGCACAAGCGGUGGAGCAUGUGGUUUAAUUCGAUGCAACGCGAGGAACCUUACCAGGGCUUAAAUGUAACGGGACAGAUCUAGAGAUAGAUCCUUCUUCGGACUCAUUACAAGGUGCUGCAUGGUUGUCGUCAGCUCGUGCCGUGAGGUGUCAGGUUAAGUCCUAUAACGAGCGCAACCCCCAUCGUUAGUUGCCAACGAGUAAUGUCGGGAACUCUAACGAAACUGCCGGUGCAAACCGUGAGGAAGGUGGGGAUGACGUCAAAUCAUCACGGCCCUUACGUCCUGGGCUACACACGUGCUACAAUGGUCGGUACAGAGAGCAGCCACUACGCGAGUAGGAGCAAAUCUUUAAAGCCGAUCUCAGUUCGGAUCGGAGUCUGCAACUCGACUCCGUGAAGCUGGAAUCGCUAGUAA
rnacentral:rRNA from 1 species